AUAGUAUCAACAGUAGCCUAUAGUACGAAAUGUGUAGCCUAACAGAAACUAGCGUGGUGCAAUGGGUUAUUUACGGAUUGCCAGAUAGGUGGCUAUUUCUUAUGAAAAGACUCUCUACUCACAGGCAAUGGGAUUCACCAGUCUCAGACUCCUAUGGUCCUGUGGUGAGCUCAUAAGGUAAUGCAGCCCAUUUGUGUGCACCUGCUUAGCCAGUAGGCCUGGCCCUAAAUUUCACUGGUUUCCUCUCCCAGAUCGAGCCCUGCCACAACUAUAAGUAAGUCUGGUCAGUUUGCUCUUUUGGUUAUUGAAUUGCUUUGUAUGUACUUUUCUGAAAUGCAGAUACAAAUCACACACAUUUUAAGAUGAUCAGAUAUGAGGAUGCCUUUGUUAUUAUAACAAGCUGUGAAUAUCCGUUAUGCAUACAUCCAUACUUUUUCUCUCUUCCACUCCUCUCCUCAUCUAAACUGACUGUAAGAAGAUGCAUGCAGCGCUAGAUUUUUCUGCCUAAACUGACCUGGAA